rnacentral:lncRNA from 1 species
UUUCGGCUUUUGCCAAACUUUGAUUUCUCGUGUUUUCGAUACACACCUGGUUUAUUUUUUAUGCGAAAGCAAUCCUAAGACCUCUGAAACCUAAAAAUAGAAUACUGAACACCAUUUUAGCUAAGACCACCAAGUGAAACCGCACUUAACCGAACCGUACGACAAACAACGAAAUUUUGGUAUGUAACAAGAAACAAACUAGUGCGAAUGAAAAUUGAAAGGGAAAAAUGAAAAAACUAUGUAGAGAAGGGAGAGGGAAAAACGUCAAAAAAAAUUAGGGAGAAGAGGGAAAAAGAAAAGAAAAAAAAGAAAAAGAAAGAAGAAAAAAAUUUAAAAUAGAAUAAAAUCCCACAAUCCCUCAAAUUAAGGCAUGAUCUCUCAUCAAACCCAAUCCCAACUACCCACUCACUAAUCCACUUAUACAGACUUUCAAUUCCAUCCAAAA